CGAUGAAAUGGAAAAUAAUUUCUCUGCUUCGUGGGAAGUCUACGAGAUAUGGAAUCAGUAUUAUAUCGCGAUGGAUGAACUAAAAACUCUUUACAGGUGACGAGAGAAGAGACAAUGCUGAUGGUGGUAAUGGUGAUGGUGAUGGUGAUGGUGAUGGUGCUGGUAGGAACGGGGUAAAAUAAGACAACGGACACCGUAUGCGGUGUUGUAGCUGCGGGAGGGACCAGAGGAAACUGGUAGGAUCCUUCACGGCCGCCCACAUCGCGCAACAAAAAGAAAAGAUCUCCCCGAUCCCGAAAUCCCGAUUUUUCGAACGCCAUAAAUCCCGCUGGUAAUAAAAAAAAGGAAUCCCAAGAUGAUGGGAAGAGAGAUGGAAGGACCUAAGAGAAAGAAAGUCGAAGGGACAAGAUGAAGGAGAGAAGGACAACGAGUA